CGUCAAUUGCGUGAAAACGUCGACUACCGAAUUUGAAAACAAAGCGUGCUCGCUGCUCUUCGUAAACUGUACCAUUAGGGCGCAAUGAAAAAAGGAUAAGCCUGUUAAACCUUUGGCUUCGGCACGCCAAAAGAUUUAGUAUACAAAUUUGGUAAAAUUAUAUUCAAUCAUGAACAGCUACAUACAACAUUUGCAUAGAAGCCCAUCUUCGAGUUGACUAGACGGCUUAGUUCGGACAGACAUUUAACAGUGAAAUAACAGUUGUUCGGUUCGAAAUGGACAGACGAUGAUGAUAAAAAAUA